AGUCACGGCCCACAUGACCGAAUGGCUUCUCACACCGUGGAUGAGCUGGUGAGGGCCCCAGAGCUGCCCCGUUUCUUCAGCCAGGAACCCUGCUAUCCUUUGGAUCGGGGGAUUCGAGACGUGAUUUCUACAGGGGACUGCAAUACGCUUGAUGGGAUAGAAACUGCCAUCUGCUUACUGACUUUGUCUACUUCCUACGCCAUCUGUCAUGGAGGCUGUUGAAGACGAUUCAACAAGAAAGGAACACGCAUCAGACUGGGAGGCGACCUGCAGAGCACAGAGCACGCGGACAGGACAGAGGGCCUGGGACAGGAGGCCAGCAUGGGCCCUGCUAUUUUCCACCUCGGAGGCCCAGGUGGACGGAAGGACCUGCAGGCAUCGGGUGCCACGUACGGAAACAUGUAGAGAAAACUUAAAGUAAUUUUAGGCCUUCAUCAUUCACACACCUGAAGAUAGACUGAUGGGAUGAGACACAGGUGCCCUCAUGGUCUAUGUGUGGCCUUAGAGCCUGG